rnacentral:rRNA from 1 species
GAUGUUAGCGGCGGACGGGUGAGUAACACGUGGGUAACCUGCCUGUAAGACUGGGAUAACUCCGGGAAACCGGAGCUAAUACCGGAUAGUUCCUUGAACCGCAUGGUUCAAGGAUGAAAGACGGUUUCGGCUGUCACUUACAGAUGGACCCGCGGCGCAUUAGCUAGUUGGUGAGGUAACGGCUCACCAAGGCGACGAUGCGUAGCCGACCUGAGAGGGUGAUCGGCCACACUGGGACUGAGACACGGCCCAGACUCCUACGGGAGGCAGCAGUAGGGAAUCUUCCGCAAUGGACGAAAGUCUGACGGAGCAACGCCGCGUGAGUGAUGAAGGUUUUCGGAUCGUAAAGCUCUGUUGUUAGGGAAGAACAAGUGCAAGAGUAACUGCUUGCACCUUGACGGUACCUAACCAGAAAGCCACGGCUAACUACGUGCCAGCAGCCGCGGUAAUACGUAGGUGGCAAGCGUUGUCCGGAAUUAUUGGGCGUAAAGGGCUCGCAGGCGGUUUCUUAAGUCUGAUGUGAAAGCCCCCGGCUCAACCGGGGAGGGUCAUUGGAAACUGGGAAACUUGAGUGCAGAAGAGGAGAGUGGAAUUCCACGUGUAGCGGUGAAAUGCGUAGAGAUGUGGAGGAACACCAGUGGCGAAGGCGACUCUCUGGUCUGUAACUGACGCUGAGGA